rnacentral:rRNA from 1 species
AUACGGAGGGUGCGAGCGUUAAUCGGAAUAACUGGGCGUAAAGGGUGCGUAGGUGGUUAAUUAAGUUAUCUGUGAAAUUCCUGGGCUUAACCUGGGGCGGUCAGAUAAGACUGGUUAACUCGAGUACAGGAGAGGGUAGUGGAAUUUCCGGUGUAGCGGUGAAAUGCGUAGAGAUCGGAAGGAACACCAGUGGCGAAGGCGGCUACCUGGCCUGAUACUGACACUGAGGCACGAAAGCGUGGGGAGC